AUCCCUUUCUUAACACCCCUGUGUUUGAGAUUCAUGCAGUCUAAGAGGAGACAAAAACAAGUAGUUGACAGUAGAUUAAACAGUUCACAGGCAUUAUCUCCGUUAAGCCGCACAACAAACCUAAGACAAGGACAGUUCUUGUCCCCAUUUUAUAGAUGGUGAAACUAAGGCUAAGAGGUUAUUUAGCUCUUCGGUCUGUGUGACUUAGGUCACACAGCUACUAUGUAAGGAACAGAGAUUAGAAUCCUAGCUGUGGCUGGUACCAAAGCUUUUUGCCUUAUCCCAUCGUACCACAGAAUGCUGCUUUCUAAGAACAGCAUCUUAUCCUGGUCACCUGAGUGCAGUAGUUCUGCUUCCCAGAGUGUAUACCUUGAAAGUCAGAUCCAUCUAACAUUGAGUGUGAUGUGGCAGACCUUUCACACAUGCCAUGUGAUUAAAGGAGUUGAAUUGGAAAUUCACUUUGAAGAGCUAGAACUUGUGUCUGAAAUGCAUGUCCUCAUAGUUGAUGAAUAAGCACCAUUCUUAAACUACUAAUGUAGAACUUAGUUGUAUUUUCAUAAACAAAGGUGGAUUAUGUUCAGAGGAGUAGCAGUUAAGAGUAGGUUUCAGAUAUGUACGUGAGAGUUGUUAGGAAAGGUACUGGACGAUCAAGGCACCAGUCGCCUGUCCUACCGACUAUUGAGGACACUGGGCAUCCAACUGCUCUGCAGUGGGAAAAGCUUGGAUGAGGCUGUCAGGAGGCUGAGACAGAGGAGGUCUCUGUUAGCAGUGGAGGAGCCGCCAAGAUGUACAGGAGAACUGUACAGAGGGCGGGAGAGUCCAAGGGACGUUCUGCCAAGUAUGGCUUGACAGUUCUUUUUUUAAACUUGCCAGUACAGGACAUGCUAAGUUAAAACAUCUUAACCGUUGCCUAGUUACUGCAACACACAAAAUUCCCAAGGACUAAACUUAAUGAAUACCUGGAUCCCUUCUUGAAUGCCCAAAGGAAUUUUUAUAGAAAACAGACCAAAAGUACAUGACUCAUGAUUCAGACUAGCACCCAGGCUUUUUAGGGAAGUGGGAUGAAGAGGAUUCAUGCGAAAUGGGAAAAGCCUCUUUAACAAAUUCUACAAGACUUCUUAUCUGAAGGGCAGUCCUAAGUCUCUACCUCCAGUGAGUCUGCAAUUGAAAUCUGAUCAAAUUCUACAAGGCCACCCUUCCCAUGACCAACACAACUGCUGGGGACUCAGGGACAGAGUUUUUAGCUCUGAGCUCAGCUCUGCACUGUGAUUUGCUGCAAUUGACUAGCUUCCUGUGCUCACCUUAAUGGAAAACAUAACAUUCAAAGCACCACGAGGGA